GAUGAACGCUAGCGACAGGCUUAACACAUGCAAGUCGAGGGGCAGCACCAGGGUAGCAAUACUUGGGUGGCGACCGGCGCACGGGUGAGUAACGCGUAUCCAACCUUCCGUACACUCAGGGAUAGCCUUUCGAAAGAAAGAUUAAUACCUGAUGGUAUGAUGAGAUUGCAUGAUAGCAUCAUUAAAGAUUUAUCGGUGUACGAUGGGGAUGCGUUCCAUUAGGUAGUAGGCGGGUAACGGCCCACCUAGCCUACGAUGGAUAGGGGUUCUGAGAGGAAGGCCCCCCCANAUUGGAACUGAGACACGGUCCAAACUCCUACGGGAGGCAGCAGUGAGGAAUAUUGGUCAAUGGACGGAGUCUGAACCAGCCAAGUAGCGUGAAGGAUGACUGCCCUAUGGGUUGUAAACUUC
rnacentral:rRNA from 1 species